rnacentral:rRNA from 1 species
AGUGAACGCUGGCGGUAGGCCUAACACAUGCAAGUCGAACGGCAGCACAGGAGAGCUUGCUCUCUAGGUGGCGAGUGGCGGACGGGUGAGGAAUACAUCGGAAUCUGCCCAGUCGUGGGGGAUAACGUAGGGAAACUUGCGCUAAUACCGCAUACGACCUUCGGGUGAAAGAGGGGGAUCGCAAGACCUCUCGCGAUUGGAUGAGCCGAUGUCGGAUUAGCUAGUUAGCGGGGUAAUGGCCCACCAAGGCGACGAUCCGUAGCUGGUCUGAGAGGAUGAUCAGCCACACUGGAACUGAGACACGGUCCAGACUCCUACGGGAGGCAGCAGUGGGGAAUAUUGGACAAUGGGCGCAAGCCUGAUCCAGCCAUACCGCGUGGGUGAAGAAGGCCUUCGGGUUGUAAAGCCCUUUUGUUGGGAAAGAAAUCUUUCAGGCUAAUACCCUGGGAGGAUGACGGUACCCAAAGAAUAAGCACCGGCUAACUUCGUG